rnacentral:lncRNA from 1 species
CAGGAAGUCACCAGCAGAGGAACAAGCAGGGCAUGCCAUUCAGAGAGAACAGCAGGAACAGAAACACAGGAGGAGGAAAGAAUGCUGAUCAUUUCAGCAUGGAUAGAGUAAGGAGUACCUGGAGGAAAAGCAAAGAGUGAGGUUGAAGGAGGAUAACCUGUUUUGUUUUCAAAUGCUGAGUGGAUCUGUAUAUUACGCCGUUGGAAAUCAGACAUGGAGUUCAGAAGAAGACUGGCCCUGAGCUAACAUCCGUGCCCAUCUUCCUCUACUUUAUAUGUGGGACGCCUACCACAGCAUGGCUUGCCAAGCAGUGCCACGUCUGCACCCAGGAUCCGAACCUGUGAACUCUGGGGCACCGAAGCAGAACGUGUGAACUUGACCACUGCACCACUGGGCCAGCCCCCAUAAACAUUAUUUAAAUGUCACCAAGAAAGACAGAAAAAAGGAAAGAAAAACAUUGCCAUUUAAACUAUGACACAAUGCCUUCUUACAUAGAAUUUUUAUUUUAUCUUUAUUUAAAGAGCUCUUUUAGACUUAUUUAGACAUAAAUCAAAUAACACAUUUGGACAUAUAUAAAAGGAAAAACAAAAGCAAAAUAAGUUGUUAAGGUAGUUCUAAAACUUCUUCAUGUUCAGAACAUUUUCUGCAACAGUUUUUGACUCAGAGUUGUCAAUAUCCAUGUUUUUUGAAACAAUAUUAUCCUCCCUGCUAUCAAGUAUUUUGAUGAUGCUGUAUUUCUUAAAACAGUGCUCAACUCUUAUGUCUAGGAUUUUCUUCAAAGACACUGACAUCAUUAUGUAACUUUUGAUGCUAGCAGUUUUUUGAGCCUUCCAAAGAUAUUGAUGUAAAGUUUUCAGACAACAACCAGUGGUUAUAUCCCUUAUUCAGAUAGUCUUUAAAUAGUUUGUCCAGAAAUGAAAUCAGUAACAAUAACCAAGUUCACACAUGCUCAGGCAAUGACAAUAACAAUGAUGUCGUGACUGACGCCUGGCUGACAGUGCUUAAAGGACACAUCCUGAUUUCAGAAAAGCGAAAAUGUACUUCCUACAAUGGAAGAAACAUAGAGCCGUGGCAAUCAAGGGGAACUUUUCCUUUUUCUUUUCUAGAACUUAACCAAAAUUUGGUCAUCAGCAAGAGUAAUGCUGCUCAAGGUAUUUGAGCAGUAAAAGUAAA